rnacentral:rRNA from 1 species
AUUGAACGCUGGCGGAAUGCUUUACACAUGCAAGUCGAACGGCAGCACGGGGGCAACCCUGGUGGCGAGUGGCGAACGGGUGAGUAAUACAUCGGAACGUGCCCGGUCGUGGGGGAUAACGUAGCGAAAGUUACGCUAAUACCGCAUACGAUCUGAGGAUGAAAGCGGGGGACCUUCGGGCCUCGCGCGAUCGGAGCGGCCGAUGUCAGAUUAGGUAGUUGGUGGGGUAAAGGCCUACCAAGCCGACGAUCUGUAGCUGGUCUGAGAGGACGACCAGCCACACUGGGACUGAGACACGGCCCAGACUCCUACGGGAGGCAGCAGUGGGGAAUUUUGGACAAUGGGCGCGAGCCUGAUCCAGCCAUUCCGCGUGCAGGACGAAGGCCUUCGGGUUGUAAACUGCUUUUGUGUGGAACGAAAAGGCUCUGGCUAAUACCUGGGGCUCAUGACGGUACCGUAAGAAUAAGCACCGGCUAACUACGUG